rnacentral:rRNA from 1 species
AGACGGAGGGUGCUAGCGUUGUCCGGAAUUACUGGGCGUAAAGCGCUCGUAGGCGGUCGUAUACGGCGAUGGUGAAAGCUCCCGGCUCAACUGGGAGAGGCCCGUCGCAACGGUGUGACUCGAGGGUGGUAGAGGCAGAUGGAAUUCCUGGUGUAGCGGUGAAAUGCGUAGAGAUCAGGAGGAACACCCGUGGCGAAGGCGGUCUGCUGGGCCACACCUGACGCUGAGGAGCAAAAGCUAGGGGAGCGAACGGGAUUAGAUACCCCGGUAGUCCUAGCUGUAAACGAUGGAUACUAGGUGUCAGCGGUAUCGACCCCGCUGGUGCCGAAGCUAACGCGAUAAGUAUCCCGCCUGGGGAGUACGGCCGCAAGGUUGA